UUUUUUUGGUUUUUUGAAAGUUUAAGUCAAGUAUAGUUAAGUUUAUUUACAAGUUUGAUUUAACAAAAGAAGUUUGAAAAUGCAAUGGCAUAAGCCAAGGUUUCUAUCUUUUUUUGCAAAAGUGGUCAAAGUUUAGAACAAAAAUAGUUCACACAAAGAAGAUUUUGAAAAUGGAGGGAGAAAUUUUGAAAUUAAAGAAAUGGGGAGAAGAU
rnacentral:lncRNA from 1 species